rnacentral:rRNA from 1 species
GUGCCAGCAGCCGCGGUAAUACGAAGGGUGCAAGCGUUAAUCGGAAUUACUGGGCGUAAAGCGUGCGUAGGCGGUUUGUUAAGUCUGUUGUGAAAUCCCCGGGCUCAACCUGGGAAUGGCAAUGGAUACUGGCAAGCUAGAGUGUGAUAGAGGAUGGUGGAAUUCCCGGUGUAGCGGUGAAAUGCGUAGAGAUCGGGAGGAACAUCAGUGGCGAAGGCGGCCAUCUGGAUCAACACUGACGCUGAGGCACGAAAGCGUGGGGAGCAAACAGGAUUAGAUACCCUGGUAGUCC